rnacentral:rRNA from 1 species
ACUCCUACGGGAGGCAGCAGUGGGGAAUAUUGGACAAUGGGGGCAACCCUGAUCCAGCCAUGCCGCGUGAGUGAUGAAGGCCUUAGGGUUGUAAAGCUCUUUCAGCGAGGAGGAUAAUGACGUUACUCGCAGAAGAAGCCCCGGCUAACUUCGUGCCAGCAGCCGCGGUAAUACGAAGGGGGGCUAGCGUUGUUCGGAAUCACUGGGCGUAAAGCGCACGUAGGCGGAUUGAUAAGUUAGGGGUGAAAUCCCGGGCUCAACCUCGGAACUGCCUUUGAUACUGUCAGUCUUGAGUCCGAGAGAGGUGAGUGGAACUCCGAGUGUAGAGGUGAAAUUCGUAGAUAUUCGGAAGAACACCAGU